ACCUGUUUCACAUUAAGCCUUGAUGCGUACUGAUCAUUGAUGGGACGUGAAUGAAGGAACGGAAAAGACGCGAUUGGAUGUCCAUGCUUCGUUUUAUCUAUAAAAAUCUUGCAUUUGGAUGGCCUCCUGGGUGAAGGUCAGUGGAUCAGGUGGAUGUUUGGCACAACCCGACAAAUGAAGCAGGAGAUUUUGAGCAGGACACUUUCAAGAUGAUGGUUGACACAAAAUCCAGAAGACAUCAAAAAGAGUCUAAAUGUCAUGAUGAAAUCUCUCAGAAGCAGCAUCACAAUAAAUCAUCGCAGACUCUCCAUCUUGGCACACGGCAUACUAUUCUCAAAUCAGAUUGCUUCA
rnacentral:lncRNA from 1 species